GGAUAUUGUUUUUAAUGUCGAGAGUUGUCUGUGGGGGUUUUACACCAACAUAAUUCUACUGGGAAAUAGUGCUAAAAAGAAGGAUAAAAAAACA
rnacentral:misc_RNA from 1 species